GGAAAAAAACGUGUCUGUAUUGAACAUGUGCAAAUUAUUUUUUCUUGUCAUUAUUCCCUAAACAAAGCAGUAUGACAAGUGUUUACAUAACAUUUACAUCAUAUUGGCUAUUAUAAGUGAUCUAGAGAUGACUUUUCAUCUAUGGGGGCAGAGCCAAGCAUGGAAGAGUGGAGGUCUGAGCAUCACAGCAGGCCCCUCUUUCCCCUCCCCAUCUUUACCCACCUGCUCUAGGCCUACCUUUACUCACCAACUCAGCCUACAGAACACCUGUCCAUCACGAAUCCCUCAGCAAGUUCCUGCUUAAACAAAAGCAUCAAGCAGGUGUACAUGUUCCUGCCUCAGGGUGAGAAAGUCCAGGCCAUGUGUAUCUUUAUCAGUGUUACUGGAGAAGGACUGUGCAGCAAGAUCCAUACCCUGGACAGUGAGCCCUAGUGUGUGAAAGAGUUGCCUGAGUGGAAUUUUGAUGGCUCUAGUACUUUACAAUCUGAAAGCUCCAACAGUGACGUGCUGCCAUGUUUCAGGACCCUUUCCGCAAGGACCAUAACAAGCUGGUCUUCUGUGAAGUUUUCAAGUACAAUCGAAAGCCUGCAGAAACCAAUUUGAGGCACAUCUGUAAAUGGAUAACGGACAUGGUGAGCAACCAGCACCUCUGGUUUGGCAUAGAGCAGAAAUAUACCCUUAGGGAGACAGAUGGGCAGCCCUUUGGUUGGCCUUUCAAUGGCUUUUUGUGACACCAGGGUCCAUAUCAUUGUAUUGUGGGGGAAACAGAGCCUAUAGCAGGAACAUCUUGAAGGCUCUUUAGGAAGCCUGCUUGUAUGCUGGAGUCAAGAUUGGAGGGACUAAUGUUUAUGUCAUGCCUGCCCAGUGGGAAUUCCAAACUGGACCCUAUGAAGGAAUCAGCAUGGGAGAUCAUCUCCAGGUGGCCCGUUUCAUCUUCCAUCAUGUAUGUGAAGACUUUGAGAGCCAGCCACACUUCACUCCAGGAAGAGAAGUUCCAGGUAGGAGCCUCUUUUCUGUCUGGCAUGGGUUUUACAGGUGAAAAAGCUGAAGCUCAGAGAAACGAAGGAGCCCACGGCCACAUGAUUACACAACUAGCAAGUGACAAAGGUUCAGCACUCCUGUUGAAUUCGACUGGAUUCUGGAAAGAUAUUUGGACUCACUAUGAUAACAGAAGAGUGAUAAUAAAUAUAAAUACCUGAACCUGAAUCUAAAUUUUGCUAUUCUUUAUGGAUGUGAUUUUUGAGCUGGUGCUAUCUA
rnacentral:lncRNA from 13 species